UUUCUUUGAAGAUAACUUUGUCCAGUUCUGCUACUGAAUGCAAGCGAUGAUAAUGGAACUCUGAGAAA